UAGCGUAAGGGUGCAAGCCGUUGUCCGGAAUUGAUUGGGCGUAAAGAGCUCGUAGGCGGUGUGUCGCGUCUGCUGUGAAAACUCAGGGCUCAACUCUGAGCUUGCAGUGGGUACGGGCACACUAGAGUGCUGUAGGGGAGACUGGAAUUCCUGGUGUAGCGGUGAAAUGCGCAGAUAUCAGGAGGAACACCGGUGGCGAAGGCGGUGGUCUGGGCCGGAACUGACGCUGAGGAGCGAAAGCGUGGGGAGCGAACAGG
rnacentral:rRNA from 1 species